GUUGUAUGGUUAAGUGACUAAGCGUAUACGGUGGAUGCCUUGGCAGUUAGAGGCGAUGAAGGACGUGUAAGUCUGCGAAAAGCUGUGGUGAGCUGACAAAACGCAUUUGAGCCACAGAUGUCCGAAUGGGGAAACCCACACAUUUAUGUGUAUCAACAAGUGAAUACAUAGCUUGUUGAGGCGAACGAGGGGAACUGAAACAUCUAAGUACCCUUAGGAAAAGAAAUCAACCGAGAUUCCCCUAGUAGCGGCGAGCGAACGGGGAUUAGCCCUUAAGCAUUUUAAGAUUUAGUGGAAGCCUCUGGGAAGUGGCGCGAUACAGGGUGAUAGCCCCGUACACGAAGGGUCUUUUAAUGUGAAAUCGAGUAGGUCGGGACACGUGUUAUCUUGACUGAAUAUGGGGGGACCAUCCUCCAAGGCUAAAUACUCCUAACUGACCGAUAGUGAACCAGUACCGUGAGGGAAAGGCGAAAAGAACCCCUGUGAGGGGAGUGAAAUAGAACCUGAAACCGUAUACGUACAAGCAGUGGGAGCCCUUCGGGGUGACUGCGUACCUUUUGUAUAAUGGGUCAGCGACUUAUAUUUAGUAGCAAGGUUAAGCAAAUAGCGGAGCCGUAGCGAAAGCGAGUGUUAACUGCGCGUUUAGUUGCUAGGUAUAGACCCGAAACCC
rnacentral:rRNA from 1 species